UACAGGGGGUGCAAACGUUGCUCGGAAUCAUUGGCGUAAGACGCACGUAGGCGGCCUAGCAAGUAGGGAGUGAAAGCCCUCGGCUUAACCGAGGAAGUGCUUUCUAAACUACUAGGCUUGAAUACUGGAGAGGGUCGCGGAAUUCCCGGUGUAGAGGUGAAAUUCGUAGAUAUCGGGAGGAACACCGGUGGCGAAGGCGGCGUUCUGGACUGCAACUGACACUGAGGAACGAAAGCCAGGGGAGCAAACGGG
rnacentral:rRNA from 1 species